rnacentral:rRNA from 1 species
CCUACGGGAGGCAGCAGUGAGGAAUAUUGGUCAAUGGACGAGAGUCUGAACCAGCCAAGUAGCGUGCAGGAUGACGGCCCUAUGGGUUGUAAACUGCUUUUAUACGGGGAUAAAGUGAGGGACGUGUCCCUUUUUGUAGGUACCGUAUGAAUAAGGACCGGCUAAUUCCGUGCCAGCAGCCGCGGUAAU